GAUGAACGCUGGCGGCGUGCCUAAUACAUGCAAGUCGAGCGAACAGACGAGGAGCUUGCUCCUUCGACGUUAGCGGCGGACGGGUGAGUAACACGUAGGUAACCUACCUAUAAGACUGGGAUAACUUCGGGAAACCGGAGCUAAUACCGGAUAAUAUUUCGAACCGCAUGGUUCGAUAGUGAAAGAUGGCUUUGCUAUCACUUAUAGAUGGACCUGCGCCGUAUUAGCUAGUUGGUAAGGUAACGGCUUACCAAGGCAACGAUACGUAGCCGACCUGAGAGGGUGAUCGGCCACACUGGAACUGAGACACGGUCCAGACUCCUACGGGAGGCAGCAGUAGGGAAUCUUCCGCAAUGGGUGAAAGCCUGACGGAGCAACGCCGCGUGAGUGAUGAAGGUCUUCGGACCGUAAAACUCUGUUAUUAGGGAAGAACAAACGUGUAAGUAACUGUGCACGUCUUGACGGUACCUAAUCAGAAAGCCACGGCUAACUACGUG
rnacentral:rRNA from 1 species